rnacentral:rRNA from 1 species
AGUGAACGCUGGCGGUAGGCCUAACACAUGCAAGUCGAACGGCAGCACAGUAAGAGCUUGCUCUUACGGGUGGCGAGUGGCGGACGGGUGAGGAAUACAUCGGAAUCUACUUUUUCGUGGGGGAUAACGUAGGGAAACUUACGCUAAUACCGCAUACGACCUACGGGUGAAAGCAGGGGAUCUUCGGACCUUGCGCGAUUGAAUGAGCCGAUGUCGGAUUAGCUAGUUGGCGGGGUAAAGGCCCACCAAGGCGACGAUCCGUAGCUGGUCUGAGAGGAGGAUCAGCCACACUGGAACUGAGACACGGUCCAGACUCCUACGGAAGGCAGCAGUGGGGAAUAUUGGACAAUGGGCGCAAGCCUGAUCCAGCCAUACCGCGUGGGUGAAGAAGGCCUUCGGGUUGUAAAGCCCUUUUGUUGGGAAAGAAAAGCAGCAGGUUAAUACCCCGCUGUUCUGACGGUACCCAAAGAAUAAGCACCGGCUAACUUCGUG